rnacentral:rRNA from 1 species
UACAGGGGUGGCAAGCGUUGUUCGGAAUUACUGGGCGUAAAGGGCGCGUAGGCGGUCUUUUAAGUCUUGUGUGAAAUCCCUCGGCUCAACUGAGGAACUGCACGGGAUACUGGAAGACUUGAGUUCGGGAGAGGGAAGCGGAAUUCCGGGUGUAGCGGUGAAAUGCGUAGAUAUCCGGAGGAACACCGGUGGCGAAGGCGGCUUCCUGGACCGAUUACUGACGCUGAGGCGCGAAAGCUAGGGGAGCAAACGGG